rnacentral:rRNA from 1 species
GGAAUCACUGGGCGUAAAGGGCGCGUAGGCGGCCUGAUAAGUAGGGGGUGAAAUCCUGCGGCUUAACCGCAGGGCUGCCUUCUAAACUGUCAGGCUCGAGCACAGUAGAGGCAGGUGGAAUUCCCGGUGUAGCGGUGGAAUGCGUAGAGAUCGGGAAGAACAUCGGUGGCGAAGGCGGCCUGCUGGGCUGUUGCUGACGCUGAGGCGCGACAGCGUGGGGAGCAAACAGG